rnacentral:rRNA from 1 species
UGGAUACGCGUCUCCAGUUUGAACACGGAGACGCCCAAACGUUCCGACGCUGCAGGAUGUGGCUGCGGCCGAUUAGGUAGACGGUGGGGUAACGGCCCACCGUGCCGAUAAUCGGUACGGGUUGUGAGAGCAAGAGCCCGGAGACGGAAUCUGAGACAAGAUUCCGGGCCCUACGGGGCGCAGCAGGCGCGAAACCUUUACACUGCACGCCAGUGCGAUAAGGGGACCCCGAGUGCGAGGGCAUAUCGUCCUCGCUUUUCUGGACCGUAAGGUGGUCCAGGAACAAGAGCUGGGCAAGACCGGUGCCAGCCGCCGCGGUAAUACCGGCAGCUCAAGUGAUGACCGAUUUUAUUGGGCCUAAAGCGUCCGUAGCUGGCCGUGAAAGUCCAUCGGGAAAUCCACCCGCUUAACGGGUGGGCGUCCGGUGGAAACUUCAUGGCUUGGGACAGGAAGGCUCGAGGGGUACGUCCGGGGUAGGAGUGAAAUCCCGUAAUCCUGGACGGACCGCCGAUGGCGAAAGCACCUCGAGAGGACUGAUCCGACAGUGAGGGACGAAAGCUGGGGUCUCGAACCGGAUUAGAUACCCGGGUAGUCCCAGCCGUAAACGAUGUUCGCUAGGUGUGUCACUCACUACGAGUGAGUGAUGUGCCGUAG